UGCUCUUCUUCAUCCUUGACCUUCUUCUUCUUCUUCUUCUUCUUCUUCUUCUUUUUCUUCUUCUUCUUCUUCUUCUUCUUCUUCUUCUUCUUCUUCUUCUUCUUCUUCUUCUUCUUCUUCAGAUAUAAAUAAGAAGAGGUGAGUAACUCAUCAUAGUAAUAGUAAGUCUUCAUUGAGAGAGUACAACUAAAGAAAGCAAGGGAUAUUAACAGAAUCCAACAUAUCCUUUAUCGCCAUUUUCCUCGACGCCAUUACUGCUCUGUCAACAACUCUCGAACCAAUCAAAUUGAAUAUCUUAAUACAUAAUUUCAAAAAGCUUCCAAUUCAAGUUGAAUAUGAUAUAAUGUUUUUGGAAUGGAUAAGUGAUAGAAACAAUUACAUCGUCCAUUUUUAGUAUGUUAAGUGCAAAUCAAAUAAAUUAUUAAAAAGUUAUAAAAAUAAAAUAUUAACAAUUAUAAAAUACGAUUCAAACAAUUAAACUUUUUAUAAUUCUCUUCUGGUCAACUGAACUUUUACCUUCCUCUAAAUCGAAAUUUCAAUCGAUUUUUAGUUCAACUAGACAGUUCGAUUUAAAUAACAUUGCAUUUUAAUUUUUUUAUGAUGAAAAUUAAUUGGUUUUAUGGAUUUUCAAAUUAGUUUUCAUCAUAUAAAAAUAUAAAUUUUUUGAUAAGCUAUCAAUAAGCGUUGAGCGUAGUGGUGAAGUAUAUUACAAUUUGAAAGAGAGAGUACGUGUUCAAACUUUGAAGACGAUAUUGUUGGAAGAGGUAGUCAUAUACUCCAAUCAUAGAUCGUAAUAUAGACAUGAAACAUACCAAUAAUAUAUACUUUCAAUAAGUUAUUAUAAAAUUGACUACAUAUAUAAAAAGAUAUAUAACUUUUUAUUUGAUUAAUAAGUUAUAUAAAUUUUAUUUAUAUCAUUUAUUAUAAAUUUUUUUUGUAUUGGUUAGAAUUGUAUAACCCAAAUCUUUGUUAAAAAAUACAUUGAUGGUUUCACUUUUUCCACUACGUAAUAAUGUAAUUGGAGUUUUAGAUAAAGGCAAAUCAACAAAACAAAAAUCAACAAAGUUUACCUCAAAAUGUCACAACACUUAUUAAAUUGGACUCUUAAGUUAACUUAAUAAUAUGACGUUUUGAUAAUCCCAAGGCAGUUACAUUAAGCUUUCUAAAAGUUAGUCAAAAAGAAUGUUUUCAAAUUUAAUUGGUUCAACGGAACCAAACCAUAACAUCUGAACCGAGUUAGGAAGGUUAUAGUUGAAUCCUUCAAGAUUAAAUUUUGAACAACAUCAGCCUUCUAUACCUCACUAGUAAUAGUUUUACUGGUCGUAUUCCUCUAGCUUUGUGUCAUCUGAUGAAACUGGAGUACACAUCGCUUUCCCAAAAUAAAUAAAGUGGCUCAAUCCCUUCUUGUGUUGAUUGUUUAUUGAAAGAUCCUAUUCUUGGAGAAAUUUGUAAUUUAGCCCUUAAUCCAAAUGAAAGAAAGAACUAUCUCCAUGUAUCGGGAAUAGAACCCUUAAUAUCUCACUAGUUUUGCCCAAUAAUCCAUGGUAGAUGAAGCAACUUUGCAAUUUAGUCCAAAAAUCUCAAUUUCUCCUCUCUUUCAACUUAAGACAAGCUCAUUCAAAACCUAUUAACUACCAAAAGCCCAGCAAUGACUUCUCAAACUCUUGAAUUAGAAUUUUCCGUAUGAAAAUCGCUAUAAAAAAAUUAAUUCUCGAUAAACUUUUGCAGUAAUUUUAUCGGAGUUUCAUGAAAUUGAAUAUAUUAACUAUUGUUGUUCACAUAGAAAGAAAGCACAAGAGUGGAUCAAAUUGGAGAAUUUCUUUGUUAUCAUAUAUGGUAUAUGGCGUAAACCUGUUUAAUCAGACGAGUCUAACAAACAGUUAAUCAUGUUUUGUUUGUCUCUAAAAGCUAAAAAAAAAAUGUAAGUUGGCUAACAAGUGAAAAAGCAUUCAUCACUAUGCUUGGAUGUUUUCCGAUUAUUAUGGAAAGAAGGUUUCUGAGUGGUUUCCCAUCAUAAAACCCCACACGUAAAGUUAGUCAUUUUACACAACUCUUAAUUCUUACUUUAAGAUGAAAAUACAGCAGCAGGUCCACAAAUAAAGCAGGGCACAUUGACUACUGUUGUUGGCAUAGAAAGAAAAACAUAUACAGUAUGGAAACCCAGUAAAGUAGGUUGAAAAGCAUUCAUCAUUCAUCACGUUUUGUUUUCUAUAUCUAUAGUAUUAGUAUGUUGCAACAAAUGGGAAAGUAUUCAAUACACGGAUCAGCUUUUGCCUCCUUUAAUUAAA